rnacentral:tRNA from 1 species
GCCUGGCUGGCUCAGUUGGUAGAGCACGUGACUUUUGAUCAUGGGUUUGUGAGUUUGAGCCUUAUGUUGGAUA